UACAGAGGGUGCGAGCGUUGUCCGGAAUCACUGGGCGUAAAGGGCGCGUAGGUGGUGGCUUAAGCGUGCGGUGAAAGCUCGGAGCUCAACUCCGAGUCGGCCGUGCGAACUGGGCUCACUGGAGCAUAGUGGAGGCAGGUGGAAUUCCGGGUGUAGCGGUGGAAUGCGUAGAGAUCCGGAAGAACACCGGUGGCGAAGGCGGCCUGCUGGGCUAUGGCUGACACUGAGGCGCGACAGCGUGGGGAGCAAACAGG
rnacentral:rRNA from 1 species